rnacentral:rRNA from 1 species
AUGGUGGGGGCGGACAGAAGUGAUGACUGCUUUAAGCAUUUUGUUGAAAGAAUCAAAGAGAGGCUCAAAGGAUGGAUGGAAAAACAAUUAUCUAUUGGCGGAAAGGAGAUCCUAUUGAAAUCUGUGGCACAAGCUAUUCCGGUGUUUUCCAUGUCAGUCUUUUGUUUACCCAAAGGAAUAUGCAAAGAGAUUACUGACUUAAUUUCCCAGUUCUGGUGGGGCGAUGAUGAGGAACAUAAGAGAAUGCAUUGGUAUUCUUGGUGGAAACUUUGCUAUCCGAAGAGUGAAGGGGGGAUGGGGUUCCGAGAUCUAUAUUCUUUCAACCUAUCAAUGCUCUCAAAGCAAUGUUGGAGAUUACUAAACAAUCCGGAUUCAUUAUGUGCAAGAGUAUUGAAGGCGAAAUAUUUCCCUAAUGGCAGUUUACUACAGUCUACUUUAAAAAAUGGUGCCUCAUUUACCUGGCAGAGUGUUAUGAAGGGUUUGGAGACUUUCAAAUUGGGGUAUAUAUGGCGUAUUGGGUCAGGGGAGAAAGUGAACAUCUGGAGCGACCCCUGGGUCCCAAGCAGUGCAAAUAGAAUGGUGAUUACGCCACGAGGUCACACUGUUCUAACUACAGUUAAUGAUCUCAUAGAACCCCUAAGUGGAAACUGGGACGAGGAACUGAUUAAAUCUAUCUUCAAUCCUGUCGAUGUUCGAAGGAUCCUAGAGAUUCCGCUUAAUUACAAUGCUUUUGAGGAUUUCAUAGCUUGGCACCCGGACCGAAGAGGUAUUUUCUCAGUAUGUUCAGCUUACCACACUCAAUGGAUUCGGACUUUUAGGGCACAUGAAAAUGCACUAACGUAG